rnacentral:rRNA from 1 species
CAGAGGUCCCGAGCGUUGUUCGGAUUCACUGGGCGUAAAGGGUGCGUAGGUGGUGAGGUAAGUCGGAUGUGAAAUCUCCGGGCUCAACCCGGAAAUGGCAUUGGAAACUACCUUGCUGGAGGAUUUGAGGGGGGAUUGGAAUACUUGGUGUAGCAGUGAAAUGCGUAGAUAUCAAGUGGAACACCAGUGGCGAAGGCGAAUCCCUGGAAAUACCUGACACUGAGGCACGAAAGCUAGGGGAGCAAACAGGAUUAGAUACCCUGGUAGUCCUAGCCCUAGACGGUGCUUGCUUGCUGUAAGAGGAAUCGACCCCUCUUGUGGCGGAGCUAACGCGUUAAGCAAGCCGCCUGGGAAGUACGGUCGCAAGAUUA